rnacentral:lncRNA from 1 species
UCCUGUCAACCUUGGCAGGUUAUCCUCUGACCCAGGUGCGGUGUCCCUUGCCCAGCCACAUCUUGGCUGGCCCUGUGCUCACCUUACCUGCCCCGCUGCACGGCCUUGGUGCUGAGUGUGCACGGAGGACCCCGCCAAAGGGCCAGGCUGCUGACAUUGAGGCUUCAGUGUUCCCUAGGGAAACAGAGCCCAGAGCCCUUCCGGGGUCUCCACUGAAGGGAAGUCCAGGAGGAGCAGCCCCCUGCUCAGCUGCAGGCACCACCCUGGAAGUUCGUGUAGAGCCAAGCCCGCCCCCGGUGCUGCUGGGUAGGCCUCCGUUUAUGAAUACCACAUACCAGACCCCAGGUCCUGCUGCCCUGCAGCUGCAGCGUAUGACAUCGUUAGGAGGGAAGAGCACAUGUGAGCAUGGAUCCUGGAGUGUGUGUUUCGCGGCGCAGGUGCCUUUCCAGAAGCCAAGGUCUCCCAGUGGGUUUCGUUGUGCAUGUGGCACUCCUGACAUGUGUCAAGGCCACCAGUGAAAAGUGAGGAGCACCCUGUAUGGCCAGCAUGGCUCCACAGCACGCUAUCCACACAUCCUGACAAGUGCAGAUGUGCAGCGUUCACAGGAAGAUGAGCAAGCGGCCAGGUGAGAAUGUGGAGCUCCAGCCUCGAGGCAGAAAGAUGCCGUAGGUAGUAUAUAUAAAACUGGAAAUAACAGCCACCCCCACCACCAAAAAACAAACAAAAAUGAGGCGGUGUGAUAAGUAGGAUUCCUAACCCAUCCCCAGCAGUGAAUCAGCGUAGCAGUCCUGGAGACAUGGCUGUGUGCACGGACCAGAGCCCCCCACGCUGCGUGGCCCCGUGUGCACCUGCCAGCCCAGCGGGUCCAGCAGGCACCCUGCCUCCCAGUGGGAAUGGAUGCCGACUCAGUUCAGAGGGUGGAUUCUCUUGUUUGCAGCUGGACUUCCAGCAGCUCACCCUCUUCCCUCCAGGCUUUUCUUCAUGUGAGUUGAUAGCAUGUAUCAAUUUUAAGAAUAAAAAUAUAAUACAUAAG